AUUGAACGCUGGCGGCAGGCCUAACACAUGCAAGUCGAACGGAGCGGCGGACGGGUGAGUAAUGCCUAGUAAUCUGCAUGGUAGUGGGGGAUAACGUGCGGAAACGGGCGCACAUACCGCAUACUAUCAGAUGAGUCUAGGUCGGCUUAGCUAGUUGGGGGGGUAAAGCCCUACCAAGGCGACGAUCCGUAACUGGUCUGCGAGGAUGAUCAGUCACACUGGAACUGAGACACGGUCCAGACUCCUACGGGAGGCAGCAGUGGGGAAGAUUGGACAAUGGGCGAAAGCCUGAUCCAGCCAUGCCGCGUGUGUGAAGAAGGGCUUCGGAUUGUAAAGCACUUUAAGUUGGGAGGCGUUACCAACAGAAUAAGCACCGGCUAACUUCGUGCCAGCAGCCGCGGUAAUAC
rnacentral:rRNA from 1 species